rnacentral:rRNA from 1 species
ACUGCUAAUACUCUAUACUCCUGUCUUACAUAAGUUAGAUAGGGAAAGUUUUUCGGUGUAGGAUGAGGCUAUAUUGUAUCAGCUAGUUGGUGAGGUAAUGGCUCACCAAGGCUAUGACGCAUAACUGGUCUGAGAGGAUGAUCAGUCACACUGGAACUGAGACACGGUCCAGACUCCUACGGGAGGCAGCAGUAGGGAAUAUUGCUCAAUGGGGGAAACCCUGAAGCAGCAACGCCGCGUGGAGGAUGACACUUUUCGGAGCGUAAACUCCUUUUGUUAGGGAAGAAUAAUGACGGUACCUAACGAAUAAGCACCGGCUAACUCCGUGCCAGCAGCCGCGGUAAUACGGAGGGUGCAAGCGUUACUCGGAAUCACUGGGCGUAAAGGACGCGUAGGCGGAUUAUCAAGUCUCUUGUGAAAUCCUAUGGCUUAACCAUAGAACUGCUUGGGAAACUGAUAAUCUAGAGUGAGGGAGAGGCAGAUGGAAUUGGUGGUGUAGGGGUAAAAUCCGUAGAGAUCACCAGGAAUACCCAUUGCGAAGGCGAUCUGCUGGAACUCAACUGACGCUAAUGCGUGAAAGCGUGGGGAGCAAACAGGAUUAGAUACCCUGGUAGUCCACGCCCUAAACGAUGUAUACUAGUUGUUGCUAAGCUAGUCUUGGCAGUAAUGCACCUAACGGAUUAAGUAUACCGCCUGGGGAGUACGGUCGCAAGAUUAAAACUCAAAGGAAUAGACGGGGACCCGCACAAGCGGUGGAGCAUGUGGUUUAAUUCGAAGAUACGCGAAGAACCUUACCCGGACUUGAUAUCUAACAAAUCAUCCAGAGAUGGAAGAGUGUCUGCUUGCAGAAAUGUUAAGACAGGUGCUGCACGGCUGUCGUCAGCUCGUGUCGUGAGAUGUUGGGUUAAGUCCCGCAACGAGCGCAACCCACGUCAUUAGUUGCUAACAGUUCGGCUGAGCACUCUAAUGAGACUGCCUUCGUAAGGAGGAGGAAGGUGUGGACGACGUCAAG